rnacentral:lncRNA from 1 species
CUCAAGUCCUGCCGAGCCCGACCCAGGCCCACACGCUUAACUGACUGUGGGCCUAAAUCUGAGCUUGAAAAAGCCCGGCCCAAGCCCGUUGUUUGCUAUCCCUAGGUGCCAAUGGAUCCAAUUAAAAAAAACAUAUCUCCGUCGGUAUUGACACGAGGACCACGCGAGACUGAGUAGAGCUGACCCAACGGAAGCCCAAACCAACUUGGGCAGGCCCCAGUCUUUAGCUACAAAGCCCAAUAAAUAUUAUGAAUUUGGUUAUUCAUUCGGUUUGAAUGGGUCGGGCUGAGUCGAUACUAUUAAGUUUUAACAUUUUUCUUUCACAAUAUCUGUACGUUGCAACCAGAAAUCAGCAAAUAUUAGCAAAUGAAAUAUUUAGCGUGCAACUUAAAUUAAGUUUAUGAUGACAUAAAUAUUAGAGGAGCCCUUACUACUCUCAUACGUAACCCAUACACAAGGGUAAAGCUAUUAAGGGGCCAGAGCUGGGCUAUAUAGUCUAGGCAAAGUUUGGCAAAAAUUUUUAGUUUUAGUUUUUUUAUUAUAUAGUGCUGAUGUUUGUUCACAAAAUUAAUAUGCAGUAUUUACAAAACUAGUUACCACUGUUAUAUUUUACAAAACUGACAAAAUAAUAUUUAAAAGUUUAUCACUCAAUUUGUUUUAGAAUUUGGCCACUGUCAUUUUCCUCAACUUCUUCUCCAUUCCAUCUCGUUUUAGGUUUUUUUUUUUUUUAUAUGUCGCAGGUAAACUUGUGAUAACAAGACAUUUAUCGAUUAUUUGGUUUUUAACUCUUCAAAGUUGGAACCUUUCUAUGAUUUAUGGGGAAUACCGUACCACACAGACUGGGCAUCAUCGGAUAAUUAAAUGGGCAAAGCUUAUGUUACAUUUGUUGUAACAAACAAUCAGUACAUUUGGGUGGUUGGAUUUUAAUAUUUUUCAAUCCAAUUAAUGAAUGAAAAUAACUUUAACCUAAAACGAGGUAUGGGUGUAAUAGUUUUUUACAAAAUUUUUAUUUUGAAUCACAUAUUUGUUUUUUUUUUAAGUAAGUCCUCAUUAAUUUUGUAUAACUAAAUGACUUUGUUAACCAUCUCUUCUACAUUUAUUCUUAAAAUUUUUUAAAGUUUUUACUAUAUUUUUAUAAAGAUCUAAAUAAUUAUCAUAUUCAUAAAUAUUUACAAGUUUUGAAUAUAUAUUUGUAUCUGCAUUUAUAAUUUCUUAUCUCUCCUAAGAAUAAACUAGAUUAUAUGUAUGUAUGUAUAUAAAAUUUAUAUUUAGCAUCUUCGAUUAUAAGAGAUAUUAUAUGUCAUAAAUAUGUUAUGACUCUAAUAAAUUACUAGAAAGAUGUUACAAUGAAUAAAUCAUUAGAAUCUCUAAUAAUUU